rnacentral:lncRNA from 1 species
CCGCACCACCAUAACAUAGGAAUAUGCAUAUUGAUGUAGACCUUCUACUAUCAAUCUUUAUUUUCUUAAACCCUAAAUUUUUCUCUUCUAAAGAUCAAGAACAUAUCCUUAGUACUUCUUAAGCGCAUAAGGAUAUGCUUCAUAGAUAUCCAGUGCUCUCAAUCUGAAUUUAACUGAUAUCUGCUUGUAAUACUCACAGCAAGAAAUAUAUCAAGUUGAGUACACGGCACAGUA